rnacentral:rRNA from 1 species
UACGAAGGGGGCUAGCGUUGUUCGGAUUUACUGGGCGUAAAGCGCACGUAGGCGGAUCGUUAAGUCGGGGGUGAAAUCCUGGAGCUCAACUCCAGAUCUGCCUUCGAUACUGGCGAUCUCGAGUCCGGAAGAGGUGAGUGGAACUCCUAGUGUAGAGGUGGAAUUCGUAGAUAUUAGGAAGAACACCAGUGGCGAAGGCGGCUCACUGGUCCGGUACUGACGCUGAGGUGCGAAAGCGUGGGGAGCAAACAGG